CAGCMGCCGCGGUAAUWCNGAGGGUGCAAGCGUUAUCCGGAUUCACUGGGUUUAAAGGGUGCGUAGGCGGGUAGGUAAGUCAGUGGUGAAAUCUCGGAGCUUAACUCCGAAACUGCCAUUGAUNCUAUUUAUCUUGAAUAUUGUGGAGGUUUGCGGAAUAUGUCAUGUAGCGGUGAAAUGCUUAGAUAUGACAUAGAACACCUAUUGCGAAGGCAGCAGGCUACACAUAUAUUGACNCUGAGGCACGAAAGCGUGGGGAUCAAACAGGAUUAGAUACCCUGGUAGUCCACGCCCUAAACGAUGGAUACUCGACAUACGCAAUAUACAGUGUGUGUCUGAGCGAAAGCAUUAAGUAUCCCACCUGGGAAGUACGACCGCAAGGUUGAAACUCAAAGGAAUUGGCGGGGGUCCNCACAAGCGGUGGAGCAUGUGGUUUAAUUCGAUGAUACGCGAGGAACCUUACCUGGGCUAGAAUGCAUUUUGACCGGGGGUGAAAGCCCUCUUUGUAGCAAUACACAAUUUGUAAGGUGCUGCAUGGCUNUCGUCAGCUCGUGCCGUGAGGUGUUGGGUUAAGUCCGCAACGAGCGCAACCCCUAUCAUUAGUUGCCAACAGGUAAUGCUGGGAACUCUAAUGGAACUGCCGCCGUAAGGCGUNNNNNNNNNNNNNNNNNNNNNNNNNNAUCAUGGCCUUUAUGCCCAGGGCUACACACGUGCUACAAUGGGGUGGACAAAGGGCUGCAACACAGCGAUGUGAAGCCAAUCCCAAAAACCACCUCUCAGUUCAGAUCGUAGUCUGCAACUCGACUACGUGAAGCUGGAAUCGCUAGUAAUCGUAUAUCAGCAAUGAUNCGGUGAAUACNNNCCCNNNCCUNGYACACACCGCCCGUC
rnacentral:rRNA from 1 species